GUGCUCACUUUGGCGGCAUAUAUACUAAAAUUGGGAGAAUACAGAGAUUAGCAUGGCCCCUGCAAAAGGAUGACACACAAAUUUGUGAAGUGUUCCAUAUUUUU